GCAUAAUGCUAGUUUUCUGAAAAUUCUACCUUUGUUUGUUGCACUUGCAAUCUCAAAACAGAUAAUCAUGUAUUUUUCAUUUUACAUAUGUGGAGCAUCAUGUAUCUGAAACUAGUUAUUUUAUGGUUUCACAGUUUGCAUUACAACCAUGAAACAUAUCUAUAGGCACCAUGGAAUCUCCAGAUGGCCAUCUCGCAAGGUCAAUAAGGUCAAUCGCUCUCUUUCCAAAUGGAUCUUCUCUUCUAUAUGCUGCAGGAGCAAUUUGAGGAGAUGCUCAACAAAUGGAUGGAGGAGCGCAUGUUGAUAGGGACAGUCAAGAUAAAGACAUGAGUUGUAGCUUAGACGAUGGUUCAGAUUUCUCACUUGUUUGAAGCUUAGACACAUUCAAGGGGCAUGGAGAUGCCAUCUUUAGGCCAAUUUUCACCUUCUCCUCAUGAUGAUAAUGAUCCUCUAGUUGCUGAUUGACUAGACAUUUAAUAUUUUAGAUUUAACAUUUAUAUAUAUAAUGCACUUUUAUAAGUAUGCGAAGAAUUUUUAUUUAUGGUAUUUGAUAUAUUUUAAUGUAAUUGAUGGUAAACUUUAGAUCUUAAAUAUGUGUAAUUGGUUGAAUAA